UGCGGGAUGAAGGCCUUCGGGCUGUAAACCGCUUUCAGCAGGAACGAAAAUGACGGUACCUGCAGAAGAAGGAGCGGCCAACUACGUGCCAGCAGCCGCGGUGACACGUAGGCUCCAAGCGUUGUCCGGAUUUAUUGGGCGUAAAGAGCUCGUAGGCGGUUUAGUAAGUCGGGUGUUAAAACUUUGGGCUCAACCCGGAGAGGCCAUCCGAUACUGCUGUGACUUGAGUUCAGGAGGGGAGCGGGGAAUUCCUAGUGUAGCGGUGAAAUGCGCAGAUAUUAGGAGGAACACCGGUGGCGAAGGCGCCGCUCUGGACUGAAACUGACGCUGAGGAGCGAAAGCAUGGGUAGCAAACAGGAUUAGAUACCCUGGUAGUCCAUGCCGUAAACGGUGGGCACUAGGUGUGGGUUCCAACUAACG
rnacentral:rRNA from 1 species